UGCCUGGCGCCUGGCAUACACAUGCAGUCGACGCCCCGCAAGGGGAGUGGCAGACGGGUGAGUAACGCGUGGGAACAUACCCUUUCCUGCGGAAUAGCUCCGGGAAACUGGAAUUAAUACCGCAUACGCCCUACGGGGGAAAGAUUUAUCGGGGAAGGAUUGGCCCGCGUUGGAUUAGCUAGUUGGUGGGGUAAAGGCCUACCAAGGCGACGAUCCAUAGCUGGUCUGAGAGGAUGAUCAGCCACAUUGGGACUGAGACACGGCCCAAACUCCUACGGGAGGCAGCAGUGGGGAAUAUUGGACAAUGGGCGCAAGCCUGAUCCAGCCAUGCCGCGUGAGUGAUGAAGGCCUUAGGGUUGUAAAGCUCUUUCACCGGAGAAGAUAAUGACGGUAUCCGGAGAAGAAGCCCCGGCUAACUUCGUGCCAGCAGCCGCGGUAAUACGAAGGGGGCUAGCGUUGUUCGGAAUUACUGGGCGUAAAGCGCACGUAGGCGGAUAUUUAAGUCAGGGGUGAAAUCCCAGAGCUCAACUCUGGAACUGCCUUUGAUACUGGGUAUCUUGAGUAUGGAAGAGGUAAGUGGAAUUCCGAGUGUAGAGGUGAAAUUCGUAGAUAUUCGGAGGAACACCAGUGGCGAAGGCGGCUUACUGGUCCAUUACUGACGCUGAGGUGCGAAAGCGUGGGGAGCAAACAGGAUUAGAUACCCUGGUAGUCCACGCCGUAAACGAUGAAUGUUAGCCGUCGGGCAGUAUACUGUUCGGUGGCGCAGCUAACGCAUUAAACAUUCCGCCUGGGGAGUACGGUCGCAAGAUUAAAACUCAAGGAAUUGACGGGGGCCCGCACAAGCGGUGGAGCAUGUGUUUAAUUCGAAGCAACGCGCAGAACCUUACCAGCUCUGACAUUCGGGUUUGGGCAGUGGAGACAUUGUCCUUCAGUUAGGCUGGCCCCAGACAGGUGCUGCAUGGCUGAUCGUCAGCUCGUGUCGUGAGAUGUUGGUAAGUCCCGCAACAAGCGCAACCCUCGUCCCUAAGAUGCCAGCAUUCAGUUGGGCACAUCUUAGGGGGACGUGCGGGUGCAAUAAGCCGAAAGAGAAAGUGAGACAGACCGCGAAGUUCGUCAUGGGCGUUACUGCCUGCCAUACACAAGUGACUCAGCAGUGGGAGUCGUACCACGUGAACACUGCUUAGCCGCCGAGUGUCAAGCCAUAAGCUCAGUGCCCAUCAUUCGAGAUUGAAGGUUGUACUCCCGAUGACUCGUCA
rnacentral:rRNA from 1 species